ensembl:snRNA U1 U1 spliceosomal RNA
UUACUUACCUGGCAGGCGAGAAAGCAUGAUCGAGCAGUUGGUUUUCUCAGGGAGAGGCUCAUCCCUUGCCCUCCGGGUGUGAUGACCCCUGUGAUUUCCCCUACUGAGGGAAACUCAACUGCAUAGUUUGUGGUAGUGAGGGACUGUGUUUUCUAUGGGUUUUGU